rnacentral:tRNA from 1 species
GCGCCAGUGGUUUAGUGGUAAAAUCCAUCGUUGCCAUGCAUGCCGUGACUCGAUGGGCCCCGCGUUCGAUUCGCGGCUGGCGCA